rnacentral:rRNA from 1 species
GACGAACGCUGGCGGCGUGCUUAACGCAUGCAAGUCGAACGGAAAGGCCUCUUUCGGGGGGUACUCGAGUGGCGAACGGGUGAGUAACACGUGAGUAACCUGCCCUUGACUUUGGGAUAACUUCAGGAAACUGGGGCUAAUACCGGAUAGGAGCUCCUGCUGCAUGGUGGGGGUUGGAAAGUUUCGGCGGUUGGGGAUGGACUCGCGGCUUAUCAGCUUGUUGGUGGGGUAGUGGCUUACCAAGGCUUUGACGGGUAGCCGGCCUGAGAGGGUGACCGGCCACAUUGGGACUGAGAUACGGCCCAGACUCCUACGGGAGGCAGCAGUGGGGAAUAUUGCACAAUGGGUGGAAGCCUGAUGCAGCAACGCCGUGUGCGGGAUGACGGCCUUCGGGUUGUAAACCGCUUUCGCCCAUGACGAAGCUUUGUGUGACGGUAGUGGGUAAAGAAGCACCGGCUAACUACGUG